AGAAUCAUUCGCAAUGGGGGAAACCCUGACGAUGCGACGCCGUGUGAACGAUGAAGGCCUUCGGGUUGUAAAGUUCUUUCGCAUGGGAGCAAGAGAUGCAAGAUAAUACCUUGCAAAUUUGAGAGUACCUUGUAAAGAAGCACCGGCUAACUUCGUGCCAGCAGCUGCGGUAAUACGAAGGGUGCAAGCAUUAAUCGGAUUCAUUGGGUGUAAAGCGCGCGUAGGCGGAUGAGUAAGUCAGGUGUGAAAUUUCGAAGCUCAACUUCGAAGCUGCACUUGAAACUACUCACCUUGAGGGUAGGCGGAGAAAACGGAAUUCCACAUGUAGCGGUGAAAUGCGUAGAUAUGUGGAGGAACACCGGUGGCGAAAGCGGUUUUCUAGCUUAUUCCUGACGCUGAGGCGCGAGAGCAAGGGGAUCA
rnacentral:rRNA from 1 species